UAUUAGGUGACAUGACAGCGCUAAACAACUUGCGCACUAACUUGCCUGAUUAGUAAUCGAUCUGUUAUGCGGGGUCUCCCGAUUAGGUUUUUAAAAAAAUAAUUUUGAAAGAGAUUUCACUUUUAUUUGUUCAAUUUCACAAACAAUUAAGUUAUGGAAAUUGGCUAAAAGGAGAUAUUGUCUAAGACCGCUCCCGAUGGGUGACUAAAUACGACUGAGUGACUUUCGGUCGGUAACUAUUAUCAAGAGAUUUCUUACUAUGCUUACUCAGCAUCAGUGGUUAUUAAAAAGGAUGUAACAUCACUUUGCCUAACAUGGGGAUUCUGUAACAGAUCGAUUCAAACGCAGCACAUAAUAAAGACAGACUCAUGAUUCAUCACACAUGGUCCAGAGGCUGCACUGUCGAGAUGAAUCGUAAAGUGACUCGUAUAGUUCCUGAUCAGCUUGGAACAAAUGGUGGUUCAUGUGGCUUCUGAUAAAUAUUAUUAUUUGGCUUACGAUGUUCAAGUCGUCGUGGCCUAAAAUAAGACGUCCGGUGCAUUCGUAUCUAGCGAUGCAACGGUGUUCGAAUCCCGCAGGCGGGUACCAAUUUUUCUAAUGAAAUACGUACUUUACAAACGUUCACAAUUGAAUUUCAUGGUGAAGGAAUAAGAUCGUGUAAUAAAAAUCAAACCCGCAAAAUUAUAAUUUGCGCAAUUACUGGUGGUAGAACCUCUUGUGAGUCCGCACGGGUAGGUACCACAACCCGGCCUAUUUUUGCCAUGAAACAGUGAUGCGUUUCGGUUUGAAGGGUGGGGCAACCGUUGUAACUACACUGAGACCUUAGAACAUAUAUCUCAAUGUGGGCGCAUUUGCGUUGUAGAUGUCUAUGGGCUCCAGUAGCCACUUAACACCAGAUGGGCUGUGAACUAGUCCACCCACCUAAGCAAUAAAAAAAAUAUUCGCGCACUCGCUAUGAUAUGCGUUGUAUGAUCGAAUUGAGAUCUCAUGCCCUAAAGCAUAGAUGUAUAGUACAAAUGAGAUUAUCAAAUGGAAAACCGCAAGAAUGAAAUUUGCGUAAUAAAUUGCUAUACAAUUAAGAUCCUCAUGAAUAGCCCACAUCCGUCCGCUAUUGAACUUGGAUCCCUUCCCAUUUACAUCACAUAACCCGAUUUUCGGCCUAUGUCCAGUCCACUGCCUAUUAAGUUUCAGACUCUCACAGAGACAGACCUCACCACUACCCAACUAUAGGCUGUGUGAUGAUUCACCAGUUUGAGCAAUAUAAAUAUUAUGAACUAGCGGCCCGCUCCGGCUCCGCUCGGGUCUUUAACAAAAAUUUCAACGAUAUUUGACGUUGUUUUAUUUAAAAAAAUAAAAGAACACUUAUUCCGGUAUAACUAUAAUAGUUAGACAUAUGCUGUCGCUUUUGUGAAUAAUAAUGUGCUCUACAAAGUUGUAGUACAUUAUUUGAUUCUAUCAUUAAUAGUUUUCGCAGGGCACGCGAUGUAAAGAAUAUUUUAGGUAGUUUUUUUUACACCUUAGGUUAAAUUAUUGGAGUUUUACUAAGGAUCCCUAAUUUUUUAAAAAAAGAUUAUAGCUUAUGGCACUCGGGAAUAGUGUAGCUUCCAAACAGUGAAAGAAUUUUUCAAAUCGGUUCAGUAGUUUCGGAGCCUAUUCAAUACAAAGAAACAAACAAAUCUUUCCUCUUUAUAAUAUGAUGAUAGUAUAGAUAAGCGUCAUAUAUGCAUAAUAUAUUGCGUAUGCAUGUUAUUGAAAUCUAAAAAACAAUAAAUUCAAUUCAAAGCGUUAAUGUCUUCAAAGUUGUUACUGUCGUUAAUACGGAGCCUGCUACAAACUGCUGGCGAUUAGCCGUAAUUACUGAAGGAUCACAGUUAAAUUUAACUGUUCCCGUUAACUCGACAGGUGCUUUGAACUCGCCGGCAUCAAUUACUUUGGAUCGUUACGUUUGUUUCCGCUUUCGUGCAGUCGAAGAUUGUAAAUUAAGCAGUUUUUUUUGUCCUUAUUAAACUCUUAAAAUUUGCUCGUAACAUAAUUACGCCAAAUACUGAUGGUAGGACCUCUUGUGAGUCCGCACGGGUAGGUAUCACCACCCUGCCUAUUUCUGCCGUGAAGCAGUAAUGCUUUUCGGUUUGAAGGGUGGGGCAGCCGUUGUAACUAUACUGUGACCCUUAGAACUUAUUUCAAGGUGGGUGGCGCAUUUACGUUGUAGAUGUCUAUGGGCUCCAGUAAUCACUUAACACCAGGUGGGCUGCGAGGUCGUCCACCCAUCUAGGCAAUAAAAAAAAUAGGAAAGAAAAAAACUUUUGAAAUUAGAGUACAAAAAAACUUAUUAGAAUUUGCAAUGCUGAUUGAUGAGGAUGUUUGUUUGAUAUCGUAUUUCGAAAUUACGGAGGCAAAGCGCUUUACAGGACCCCAGAUGUUUCAAUGUUAAGACAUUUGAUUAUUUAACGGAAGAUAUAAUAAUGAUAAUGAAUGGGAACAAAUCACGCACGGCCAUUCAGCCCCAAUUUAGCAUUCGCUGUGUUAUGGGUACCAAAGAUUGAUAAACAUGCUUAUAUACAUUUAAAUAUAUACAAAUAUAGAUAAUAGACAUCCAGACAAAAGAGCGAAUAAAUCUGUUCAUCACACAAUGUUUGCCCGAUCUGGGAAUCGAACCUAUAACCCUUGGCGUACCAGUCAGGGCGGCGGACCACUGAACCAAUGAGUUGGUCAAAUUAGAUGUGAUUGUUAAAAUCAGUGAGUAGCUAGUGUAAUUUUUUAUACAAGUUAAUCUGAACUUAAAUUUUAAUCAUGAAAGGAGACUGAAACGAUUACAUACAUUUUUGGGCCCGAAUGUAACGUGAUGAAACUAAUAUGAAUUAAUAGAUUCAGAUUUAUCAGUACUUUGCUGAAAAUUAUAAAAGUUUUCUCAAUCUGAGAGCCGAGUUAAUAAAGAUUUAGUAAAAGUUAGGUUAUAUGAGUCGACUAUUAUCAAAGCCGGCAAUCUGACUUUUGGACAAUGAUUGGUAAAUCAGAAAAACGAAUUAUUGACUUUGUAUUCCAUUGGCAGUCACAAAACUCUUCGGAACGACAUCUUAGAUAAAUAACAGGUUAUCUAUUAACCUUUAUUUAAUGCAGGUUUUGAACCGUAUUCUUUGAAGGAGACGAUUAUAUUCAAAUCAAUCUGUAUUGACAUAUCAAUAAUUUUUUUUUGUCCAAAUGCACAGAUUGCCACCUUUGAUAAUAGACGACUCAGAUACACACUCAAAACGCGUCGAAGAUACAAAACGAGUAGAGCAGAAAAAACCAACAAGCGCCAAAAAAUAAUUGUAUAAUCUAUGAACAAACGUCAUGUCAGCUUACUGUCAAAGCUGUCAUCAAAAAUACAAUCGAUUUUAAUCGAUUUGAAAUCGAUAAUCAGAUUACUUUGUUAAGUAUUAUUAGAUUUUUUCUUCAUUUAUGUAUAUAAUCGCAAUUAAAUCCGGCGUAUACCGCACUUGUAUACAACAAGUAUAAAUCGCUCAUUUAAUUACUUUGCAUUAAUUACCUAGUGCAAUGUUUUUCUUUUUAUAAUCCUGUAAUCGAUUAAUUAAAUCGAUCACACCUUUAAACCGACAAAAACUAACUUUCUCAUUUUUCUCCGGUCCCAGAAAGGGGAUUGAGGUGAUUUUUUAUAUUCUUAUAUAAAAAAAUAUGACAAAUUUUUUAGACUACAUUCCAAGUUAUUACAUUUUUGGCCCACGAUUAUCCGUCUCCUUUCAAGUUUAAUUAAAUACCAAUUUAAAUUUAACUAACAGCGAAUAAAUACAACGUAAUAAAUUAUUAUAUGAAUGCUUUAUCUUUAAACUGAUAUGAUUUAAAAAUAACUAGAGGUCCCGCAGUAGUCGAAAUUCGACUAUAAUUAAUUGGAAUUGUAAGUUUGUACACUAUUAUGAUUGUAUUUUAUACUUCUUAAAUCAAAAAUUUCGCCAAGACUACACUAUAAAAAAUAUUAACAAAGACAAACAAUAUUUAAUCUAUUCUCAAUUUGACAACAGAUGUCAAGAACAAAAGUUUGACAAUAAAUAGUAUGCAUGCGUGUGUGCGUCAAAUACAUGGUAUGUAGUGUGUGUAAUCUUUUCUUUAUUCAUUUAAUGUAUCUUUUAUGCAUUAUUUAAAAAAAAAAAUUAGCAUUGUGCACUUCUUCUCUAUAUUCUCUAUAAGUGUGGAAAAUUUCAUACUCCUCCGUCCGCGCAAUUUUCGUAAAAAGGGAUACAAAGUUUUUGCUUCACGUAUUAAUUUAUAGAAGAUAUUAUUGAAAUGUCUUUGAGAAUUACGUUCUGCAAAAUGAAGUUGUAUGUUGCCAAGUAGAUAAUGUUACAACAAAAAAUUUAAAUCAUUAUGCAUUGUGGAUAAACUAAUAAAGUUCAUUGUAUCAUUUUAA